CAUCUGUCAUCCUCUGCACUACACAGUCAUCAUGAACCCUCGGCUCUGUGGACUCCUGGUUCUGGCAUCCUGGAUGAUUGCUGCCCUGAAUUCCUUGUCACAAAGCUUAAUGGUAUUGUGGCUGUCCUUCUGCACAGACUUGGAAAUCCCCCACUUUUUCUGUGAACUUAAUCAGGUCAUCCACCUUGCCUGUUCUGACACCUUUCUUAAUGACAUGGGGAUGUAUUUUGCAGCAGGGCUGCUGGCUGGUGGUCCCCUUGUGGGGAUCCUUUGCUCUUACUCUAAGAUAGUUUCCUCCAUACGUGCAAUCUCAUCAGCUCAGGGGAAGUACAAGGCAUUUUCC
rnacentral:lncRNA from 1 species